rnacentral:rRNA from 1 species
AUUCCAGCUCCAAUAGCGUAUAUUAAAGUUGUUGCAGUUAAAAAGCUCGUAGUUGGAUUUCUGGCAGGAGUGACUGACCACAAACUCUGUUUGUGAGUUGUGUCAUUCUGGCCAUCCUUGGUAAGAUCCUUUUUGGCAUUAAGUUGUCGGGAAGGGGAUGACCAUCGUUUACUGUGAAAAAAUUAGAGUGUUUAAAGCAGGCUUAUGCCGUUGAAUAUAUUAGCAUGGAAUAAUAAGAUAGGACUUUGAGUCUAUUUUGUUGGUUUCGAACACCGGAGUAAUGAUUAACAGGGACAGUCAGGGGCACUCGUAUUCCGCCGAGAGAGGUGAAAUUCUCAGACCAGCGGAAGACGAACCACUGCGAAAGCAUUUGCCAGGGAUGUUUUCAUCA